UCGAUUGCGAAGGCAGCAUACCGGCGCCCAACUGACGCUGAAGCACGAAAGCGUGGGUAUCGAACAGGAUUAGAUACCCUGGUAGUCCACGCAGUAAACGAUGAAUGCUAAUUGUCCGGAGGGAUUGACCUCUGGGUGAUACAGCGAAAGCGUUAAGCAUUCCACCUGGGGAGUACGCCGGCAACGGUGAAACUCAAAGGAAUUGACGGGGGCCCGCACAAGCGGAGGAACAUGUGGUUUAAUUCGAUGAUACGCGAGGAACCUUACCCGGGCUCAAACGCAGGAGGAAUACAUUUGAAAGGGUGUAGCUCUACGGAGUCUUCUGCGAGGUGCUGCAUGGUUGUCGUCAGCUCGUGCCGUGAGGUGUCGGCUUAAGUGCCAUAACGAGCGCAACCCCUAUCGACAGUUGCCAACAGGUUAAGCUGGGAACUCUGUCGAGACUGCCGGCGCAAGCUGAGAGGAAGGCGGGGAUGACGUCAAAUCAGCACGGCCCUUACGUCCGGGGCGACACACGUGUUACAAUGGCGGCCACAGCGGGAAGCCAGGCGGCGACGCCGAGCGGAACCCGAAAAGCCGUCUCAGUUCGGAUUGGAGUCUGCAACCCGACUCCAUGAAGCUGGAUUCGCUAGUAAUCGCGCAUCAGCCACGGCGCGGUGAAUACGUUCCCGGGCCUUGUACACACCGCCCGUCAAGCCAUGGGAGCCGGGAGUGCCUGAAGUACGUGACUGCAAGGAGCGUCCUAGGGUAAGACCGGUGACGAAUCCACCACAGUGCGAGAUUUG
rnacentral:rRNA from 1 species